AGAGUUGAUUAUGGCUCAGGAUGAACGCUAGCGACAGGCUAACACAUGCAAGUCGAGGGGCAGCACGGGAGUAGCAAUACAACUGGUGGCGACCGGCGCACGGGUGAGUAACGCGUAUGCAACCUACCUAUCAGAGGGGAAUAACCCGGCGAAAGUCGGACUAAUACCGCAUAAAACAGGGGCACCGCAUGGUGAUAUUUGUUAAAGAGAUUCGCUGAUAGAUGGGCAUGCGUUCCAUUGGGUAGUUGGUGAGGUAACGGCUCACCAAGCCGACGAUGGAUAGGGGAACUGAGAGGUUGGUCCCCCACACUGGUACUGAGACACGGACCAGACUCCUACGGGAGGCAGCAGUGAGGAAUAUUGGUCAAUGGGCGGGAGCCUGAACCAGCCAAGUCGCCGUGAAGGAAGAAGGAUCUAUGGUUCGUAAACUUCUUUUGCAGGGGAAUAAAGUGCAGGACGUGUCCUGUUUUGUAUGUACCCUGAGAAUAAGGAUCGGCUAACUCCGUGCCAGCCGCCGC
rnacentral:rRNA from 1 species